rnacentral:misc_RNA from 1 species
CUGGUCCGUUGUGUCAAGUAGUUGGGUGACUAAUGGGUCGUGGUGGUUGUUGACUCUUGCGUUAUAUCUGCUUCUGAACUUGUAUAUUUCUUCUUUGACUGUGGGUAUCUUGAGGUCGCGAUGUAUUGCUUCGUUGGUAACAUACCAGAGUGUAUCUAUUAGAAAUCUUAGCGUUUUCGAUUGGAAGCGUUGAAGUAUUUCAAUGUUGGAAUUACUUGCUG